AUAGCGUAUAUUAAAGUUGUUGCAGUUAAAAAGCUCGUAGUUGAAUUUCGGGAUUGACGUGAUGGUCGUGCCUUACGGGGUAUGAACUGUUGCAGUCAAUUUCUCACCUUCUGGAGAAAUAUGAUGUCCUUAAUUGGGUGUCAUAUGGAACCAGAACUUUUACCUUGAAAAAAUUAGAGUGUUUAAAGCAGGCUUAUUGCUCGAAUACAUUAGCAUGGAAUAAUAAAAUAGGACGGCAUGGUUCUAUUUUGUUGGUUUCUAGGAUCACCGUAAUGAUUAAUAGGGAUAGUUGGGGGCAUUAGUAUUCAAUUGUCAGAGGUGAAAUUCUUGGAUUUACUGAAGACUAACUACUG
rnacentral:rRNA from 1 species